rnacentral:rRNA from 1 species
GACGAACGCUGGCGGCGUGCUUAACACAUGCGAGUCGAACGGUGAACCUCUGCGGAGGGGCUCCGUGGCUAACGGGUGAGUAACACGUUGGCAAGCUGCCCCCGUCUCUGGGAUAACUCCAAGAAAUCGGGACUAAUACCGGAUGUUCACCGCUUCUCGCAUGGGUGGUGGUGGAAAGGUUUUCCGGCUGUGGAUGGUCACGCGGCCUAUCAGCCUGUUGGUCGGGUAGUGGCCUACCAAGGCAACGAGGGAUAGCCGGCCUUAGAGGGGAGCCAGCGACCCUGCGCCUGAGACACGCCGCAGUCUGCUACCGGAGGCAGUGGGGGAAAGUAUGACGCAGUGGGCGCGAGCCUGUCGCGACGGCGUCCCGUGGGGAAUGACGGCCUUCGGGGUAUAAACCUCUUUCAGCAGGGACGAAGCGCAAGUGACGGUACCUGCAGAAAAAGCACCGGCUAACUACGUG